rnacentral:rRNA from 1 species
GUGGAGAGUUUGAUCCUGGCUCAGGAUGAACGCUGGCGGCGUGCCUAAUACAUGCAAGUCGAGCGAACAGAUGAGGAGCUUGCUCCUCUGACGUUAGCGGCGGACGGGUGAGUAACACGUGGAUAACCUACCUAUAAGACUGGGAUAACUUCGGGAAACCGGAGCUAAUACCGGAUAAUAUAUUGAACCGCAUGGUUCAAUAGUGAAAGGCGGCUUUGCUGUCACUUAUAGAU